AACACUAACAAGCAUCGAUCAUAUCAAUGCUCUAGAUUAUAUAUACAAUAAAUCUAAGAUCAGAUCUCAUACCAGAGCGUGGGUCGAUGUUCACUGUAGCUGAGUAUCGUGGACUUAUCAGUUACUUCUAGUCGCAUAGAUAUUCGGCCUCCACAGGUAUCCAUACAAAGCCCAGAUUCGAUUGAUCUUUCUGGAGUGCUAGCUCCUUAUAGAGACCACUUGAUGGU
rnacentral:lncRNA from 1 species